CCCGCCCCCCAAGGUGGCCGUGAGGGAGGGGGGAGCCGCUGCGGAGCGCUUUUGUGAGAGAGAAAUGGGACCGGGGCCGCUUCCCCUGAAAUGUUCAAGUGUCUUUAGCAGGCACGAAGCACGUUAACUCCGCAAGACACCGCUGAAGUCUGUGCCCUAAGCCAGGGACCUCUCUGCCCUGAGAAAGCCCCCCGAAACUCCUUCGGUCAGGAGUCAGAUUUACAUAAUUUAUGACUGUUACGGAGAGCGAAUAUAGGAGAAUGUCUAAGUUUUGUAGUGUGUAUUGGCAUUUAUUUACUGGAAAUCCCUCCAGGCAAAGCAAGCUGCUGUGGAGUGUCAAAGCCCAGGGCCCUCAGUGCCCUGACAUCGCCACACUGCUGCCGUCACUGCCAGCAAGGAAUGGUUUGGUGGCUACGAAGAAGGAGCAGCCCUUCCCUGGGAGGACAGCACCUGUCGUUCCUGCCGGUGCGGCAGCAGCAGGAGCCUCUCCUCCCUCCUUUCUCUCCCCUCUCUUAGUUACUAUCCUGUCCCUCUUCCACAUCUCUAGGGCAACAAUUUUGCAUGUGCUCCUGAGGUGCUCUGAUCCAGACUUACUCUUCAUGAAUAUGAAUUACAUUUCUGAAUAUGGAAAGUAUGUAAAUUCGACAGUAUUUUGAUUUCCCUUAUCGUCUCUCUGUUUAUAGAUGCCUGUGCUCUCACACCUUACUAUUUUUCACAGUGUCUAGGAUGCCCACUUUGCUGUGUCUUGCGGGGAGUAGAUGUUAGCAAGCCUUGGGGCGUUGCAAUUACCAUUCCUUCAGCAGCUGUAACAAAACAUAGAUUUUUGACUAUACUUAACCCUUUAGUCAGUUGGUAGAAUGUGUACAGCUGUGUACCAAAACCAGGAGAAGAAACAAAGUAAAAUCUGUACUUAGUACCCAGAAGACUCAAGAGCUCUACUUGAAAUUUAAGAGUGUGGAAAGCACUGCCCUGUGACCCUCUGUAUGAAAACCAGCUAGAAAGAUAAAAUUAUGCUAUCCUUAGAAAUGCAAGUCUUUCAUGGUAGUAGUUGAAAACACAGAGUAUUAAAAUGUUCAUUUAUUGGUGUUCUGGGUCACUUUUGAGACAUUUAUUUGUUUAUCCAGAAUGGUAUGCCAUCAUCUUCCCUUUGAGGCUUAUUUUAAAAGUGAAAAAAACAAAAAAAGGCAUCUGACAGACACCAUUAUACAUUAAAAACUUCAUUAAACAGCAUGGAAAACAAAUUAUUUGCAUUCCUUUUUAAUAGUAGCAUAUGGUUAAAAAUAGAUUGCCAGCAUGUGCUGAAGUAACAGCCAUUUACAUAAUUUUCUGCUUGCAGCAAGAGUGAUUGUAAGGCCCCCAAGAUUAGAAAUUUUCUUAUAGACUAUGUAAAGGUGCACUAUCAAGCCACCUUCUUAUCUUGUCAGAAGGGAGAAGGCUGUGGGAAGACAGACCUCUGCCUGGGUGAAUUUGAGUCAUCGUUCUACGAGUAGAUACACAGAAAUGGAUUGGGGUGAAGUCACCACUGAUCACCUCAUAUCACCGAUCACCUAAGUGGGGAGUUUGUAGAGUGGCUUCAUGUAUGACUUUUGCAGAGAAUGCUGCUGUCUAGAGUUACCUACCAAGAAAAAAAAAAAAAAUCCACAAAAUAGCAUUUAGCACUUUUGGUCUUCAGAACCAUUCUUGUGCCCAUUAGCUCAAUUUUUUGUAAUUUGCUGUGAAAUUGAAAGGCUAGUGGUACAGCUCCCUGUUUAUUGAUUUAAUUACCCCUUUCUUCCUGAUUUAAGGCCAGGAGAUGAGCUACUUUUAAAGCUGGUCUUGGAAGUUUUAGCUCCCUGUCUCAAUGUAUCCUGCUGAUAUAUCUGAUCAUUAGACAAAAUUUGAACUUUAAAAUACUGAAUGAGAAAAGUCUGUGGUCUUAGCAGCCACAUAUAAAUCCCACAAAUUAGAGAUAAAAUGCUAAAAUUUGGCUGACAUUUUGCUCCUCGAGCUUAUGUGAGUUUGCUGGUGUGUUGCCAGAAGUUGGAUGUUGCAAUUUAACUGGAAAGUUAGAUUUUCCUUCUCUUCAUCUUGCUGUUUGCCAAGAUCUUUUUGUGCACUUUUGAGCAACAGUCCAUUUUUGCUGAUUCUAAAGAAUAAUGAAUAUUCUAAUGAAUAAAAACAUGUUGUUCCACAUUUAACAUUUAACACCAGAGAUUGAUGGAAAAGCAAUUUCUUGUAAAUACUUCAAUGUAUGCAAAGUCUCCCUGUUUCCCUGGAUGAAACGAUUAUCAACAGAGUGUAACAAGAGACAUCAGUUCUUGCCUUAAUGUGCCUGUUGCCAUCAGUGGCUAAUUCUGCACUGCAGAACCAACAGGCAGCUAUACAUUAUCACUGCAGCUAAAGUGCUGCAGUACUUACCCUAGCACACAUUUCCAAAAAAACACAUUUCCAGAUAUAUUACAGAUCAUCAAAAUCCAUUUUCAUUUGAAAUCAAGUGUUUGCAAUAACCUAGUUUAAAUAGGUUCUUGUGCCUGAUGUGUAAGUAUUUUAUUGAUUCAUUUUUAUUGACUCAUUUUUGCUGGAAGCUAGUUCAGGAGCACAGGAUAUUUCACUUGUUUUUAUAUCCCUUGACUCCUUAACAUUCUUUUGAUAUCCUUGCACAUAAUGUUACAGAAAUGCUGUGUUGCUCCUGUGCUCUUUGAAAAGAGCAGUUGCUCAUAAAACCUGUCUUAAAACUGAGUGCAUGGAUCAAACAAUUCCACUUGGCAGGCUGCCAUACCAACCUGGAGCAGGAAAAAAGGGCAGAAGAGAGAUUCUUCUUUCCUAAGUUUUGAGAGCAGAAAGAAAAGCCUAAAAAGUGAGAAAAUAAGGAAGACAAACAAGCCAGGCAGGUGUCCUAAGCAGAAGGUUACAGUCUCAUUUGCUGCCUCUGAGCCAAGGAGUGGUGGAUUCCCAUGUGAGUGACCAGUCUUCACUGCAUGGUAGGGCAUUGCCCUAGCCUCAGCUGACCUGCAGCCAGACAGUAAAAGGACUCACCUGGAAAAAGAGGCAGUGUGGAAUGGAGGUGACAAUAAUACCAGCCUUUUAGAGUUAAAGCUUUAGCCAUUAGGCUGUUACAUGGUAAGAUAGGAACAAGCAGAAGGAGCAACAGUGUGUCUUACAAAUGGAUCUGGAGCUUUGUUUAUGGUAUUCAGGAACUGGAGGCAGCCAGCUCCCUCUGAGAGAUCCUGGCCAUCUCAGCAGAGCAAAGCUGUGCUCCUGUGCCAGGCUUUUAAUCAAAAGGCCUGACUGUGAUCAUUUCCAGCAGGCUGCUUUAGGGGUGCCUUUCUUCUCCUGGGGAAUUUUUUAUAGGGUCAUUUAGAGAUCCCCAUUCUAAUUUUGCCCUGCAUUGGCACUGGGGUGCUUUCCUUUCCUGGAAUCUGGAUUCCAGCCCAGGGCUGGAUUUGGCUUGCAAGUCUGAAUAACCUGCAUAUUCAGUUGCACAGUUCAAUGAUGUCCCUGUGGCAGAGGCCAGGGAGGUGGUGCAAGAUCACAUGUCCCCCACAAAUGGGCUGUGCCUCUGAGGAACCUCCAUAAAGAUCUAGGAGCACUGGGAGGACAUUCAGUGAGCACAAGAUAACUGAUAUACUCCUGCUUCUCAGGAGCUGAGGACACAUGUUUCCUGCAAACCUUUUGGGCUUGCAAGUUAGCAGUCCAGGCACCUUAUUCCUUCCCCAUGAUUAUUUUACUAAAUGUGUUUCAAGUGCCCUGGAGCAAGUCUAAAUUGCAAACUAAGUGUUUUCGACUAGUAUUUUAAGAAGAAGGAUUAUUUAUUCUAUUAGUGUUGACUUUAAAAGCCACAUCAGGCUGUUUCUUUGAAACUUCUUUGAACUUUGGAUGCAUCUCUGCAGCCUGCAGCCUGGUGUAACUCCAGAGGUUUGUUCAAUUUGUCUGGAUGUUAUAUAAGCUGUCUUUUAUUUUCCUUUUGCUUGUGAUCGUGUUAUGUAGGCUGCCUUCUUAAAUUUCAGGAACCCUAAGGCAGACUGAGUCAUGUGUAUGAGGCUCUUUUUUGCACUGUUGUGUAAGGUAGUGAAUUGCAAAGGUCAUGGGAAUGAGUUAUUUAAAAACUGAAACAUGCUGGGCUCUAUCCAGCUCAGAAUAGAUGAGCUCAGAAAGGCAUUUGCGUUUUAAAUUACAGUUUGGGUUAUCAAGGACUGAUUCACCUAAGUCACUAUUUCAGUUUCCUUAGCAAACUGCUGUAGCACACAAUAUUUUUGUUUCUUUUAAAUGUGUUUCGUGAUAUAAUCAUGCAUUCCUAUGAGAUAAUGAAUAAAAUAUUUACUUUCAAUACUAGAAAACAAAUACAUUCACAAAUAUUGUCAUCAUGGGCACAGUCAUUCAUUUUCAGUGCUCGCAGCAAUUAAUCUCCCUUUCCGUUUGAUCUCAAUGGAAGGCCUAAGAAUCACAAAGUGCACAGAGUGCUUUGAUCUGCCCACUGAAACAGCUGGGUUCAGGUGAUGUGUCUCUGUGCCCUUGUGUAAACUGGCUCAGUCUUACUGCUGCCAUACAGGUUAAAGGUACAAGAACAGAUAACCCAGGAGCCUCUAGGGCAGAUCACUGUGUUUCUGUUCACUUUGUCUACGGUCUGGUUUAAGCCACCCAACUGUACCCUCAUUUAUAGAGAGACCUUUCUUGCUUCCUGUUUCAUAUCCCCUCUGAGGCCUUCCAAGUCACCACCCAUAAAAAUAUGUAUCCAGCCAUGCUUUAAAGUGAAAGUGCUCUGAACUCUCCCAAAAGCACUUUUAAACUUGGAUUCAAGUUCAGCCAACUCCACCAAGUGCUCAGCAAGCAGGGCAGGCAGCAGGGAAGGGUGUUCCAGCAGGCCAGGAGAGCAGGAGGGAAUACAAAAUCGCACCCUGGGAGUGAUUUUUGUUCUCUCCAUCAGCCUGUGGAGCUAUCCCAGCAUAAUUUUGGCCGUUUGUGAAAUUCAUGUGUGCAAUUCUAAUUUACUUCCCUUUCCAUGCAGCAAAAUGUAAUCAACUUGUGAUUGAUCACAUCAACUCUUGUUGAAAAUUGUAAGAAAAAGCUAUGUGAUGAGAAAAAAAUGCAUUAAAUUGGUUUGGCAUGAGGAAGCAGUUGAAUGACUGAUUACUGAAACCCAUACCAGUACAAUCCACCUCUCCAAAUAUUGCACCAAUAUCACAAGAUUAAGUAAUAGCAUGUCCCCAUAUAGGCUUGCAAUUAGUGUACUGGUAAAUGAUACAGACAGAAAGUGGUUAAGCCAGAAAUUGUGGAGUCAUACAUGUGCAUAUAGGAGAGGGGAAAAGAACUUUAAAAAAAGGGCUAGAAAUGCAAAGGGCACAGUAAACUGAGUUCAGGGACAUGAUGCUGAAAGGAAGAAGAACACUGAGGCAAAGGGCUUCCUGGAAAGUACUUUAAUGUAAGCAUAGGCGGGCUCUUGCUGUUUGCCUUCUUUUUGCUGUGUUCAGAAAAACAAGCACUUUUUAAAUACAGGAAUUGUACAUGUGAAUCUAUUGCAUUAUACCCAGCGUCAUGACUCAAGGUGAUUGCUAGGAUUAAACAGGAACAGCUAAAAGAAGAGCUGGAAUAAGGGAGGUCAGGGUCUAUGAAGCGCAAGGGUUUAAAGAUGUUAGCAAAAAAAAGCAAAACAACAAAAACCACCCCCCAAUACAAUCCUGUAUUCAAGUCAUUCUGGUUUGUAUUUGCAUGUAUCAGUGGGUAAAAUAUAUGAGUCACAGGGUGGGGUUUUUUUCUUGCAUGUUAAUAAUGGACACCUUGCCCUGAGUCAAAAAGCAAUGCCUUAGAUUAAUCCAGGAAACACUUCUCAAAUCUGCAAUCAUGUGAAGACUGGCAGCAAGCUCACUUUCCCCAGAAAAGAGCUAUAAAACCAAGCAAGAGAAAUCUGCAAACAGAAAGUCCAUUCACUUCUCUAACACUGCUCUUAUCCUCUUGGACUAUCGUGGGUCGAGCAGCUGGAAGACAGCAUGUUCUGUAGGCAGACAGCUCCUGGCAGGCAGGCAGUACAGCUGCGAACGCCACACUCUGUGCCAAACAUGAGUCUGUAACUUCUCUCCAGUGGUCAGCUUUUUGAGGAUAGCAUUUAGUCAUUU